UGGGGAAUUUUGGACAAUGGGGGAAACCCUGAUCCAGCCAUCCCGCGUGUGCGAUGAAGGCCUUCGGGUUGUAAAGCACUUUUGGCAGGAAAGAAACGUCGCGGGUUAAUACCCCGCGAAACUGACGGUACCUGCAGAAUAAGCACCGGCUAACUACGUGCCAGCAGCCGCGGUAAUACGUAGGGUGCAAGCGUUAAUCGGAAUUACUGGGCGUAAAGCGUGCGCAGGCGGUUCGGAAAGAAAGAUGUGAAAUCCCAGAGCUUAACUUUGGAACUGCAUUUUUAACUACCGGGCUAGAGUGUGUCAGAGGGAGGUGGAAUUCCGCGUGUAGCAGUGAAAUGCGUAGAUAUGCGGAGGAACACCGAUGGCGAAGGCAGCCUCCUGGGAUAACACUGACGCUCAUGCACGAAAGCGUGGGGGAGCAAACAGGAUUAGAUACCCUGGUAGUCCACGCCCUAAACGAUGUCAACUAGCUGUUGGGGGCCUUCGGGCCUUGGUAGCGCAGCUAACGCGUGAAGUUGACCGCCUGGGGAGUACGGUCG
rnacentral:rRNA from 1 species